rnacentral:rRNA from 1 species
UUUUACAAUGGAGAGUUUGAUCCUGGCUCAGGAUGAACGCUAGCUACAGGCUUAACACAUGCAAGUCGAGGGGAAACGACAUCGAAAGCUUGCUUUUGAUGGGCGUCGACCGGCGCACGNNNNNNNNNNGGCGUCGACCGGCGCACGGGUGAGUAACGCGUAUCCAACCUGCCCAUCACUUGGGGAUAACCUUGCGAAAGUAAGACUAAUACCCAAUGAUAUCUCUAGAAGACAUCUGAAGGAGAUUAAAGAUUUAUCGGUGAUGGAUGGGGAUGCGUCUGAUUAGCUUGUUGGCGGGGUAACGGCCCACCAAGGCGACGAUCAGUAGGGGUUCUGAGAGGAAGGUCCCCCACAUUGGAACUGAGACACGGUCCAAACUCCUACGGGAGGCAGCAGUGAGGAAUAUUGGUCAAUGGACGAGAGUCUGAACCAGCCAAGUAGCGUGCAGGAUGACGGCCCUAUGGGUUGUAAACUGCUUUUAUAAGGGAAUAAAGUGAGUCUCGUGAGGCUUUUUGCAUGUACCUUAUGAAUAAGGACCGGCUAAUUCCGUGCCAGCAGCCGCGGUAAUACGGAAGGUCCGGGCGUUAUCCGGAUUUAUUGGGUUUAAAGGGAGCGUAGGCCGGAGAUUAAGCGUGUUGUGAAAUGUAGACGCUCAACGUCUGCACUGCAGCGCGAACUGGUUUCCUUGAGUACGCACAAAGUGGGCGGAAUUCGUGGUGUAGCGGUGAAAUGCUUAGAUAUCACGAAGAACUCCGAUUGCGAAGGCAGCUCACUGGAGCGCAACUGACGCUGAAGCUCGAAAGUGCGGGUAUCGAACAGGAUUAGAUACCCUGGUAGUCCGCACGGUAAACGAUGGAUGCCCGCUGUUGGUCUGAAUAGGUCAGCGGCCAAGCGAAAGCAUUAAGCAUCCCACCUGGGGAGUACGCCGGCAACGGUGAAACUCAAAGGAAUUGACGGGGGCCCGCACAAGCGGAGGAACAUGUGGUUUAAUUCGAUGAUACGCGAGGAACCUUACCCGGGCUUGAAUUGCAGAGGAAGGAUUUGGAGACAAUGACGCCCUUCGGGGCCUCUGUGAAGGUGCUGCAUGGUUGUCGUCAGCUCGUGCCGUGAGGUGUCGGCUUAAGUGCCAUAACGAGCGCAACCCCUCUCCUUAGUUGCCAUCAGGUUAAGCUGGGCACUCUGGGGACACUGCCACCGUAAGGUGUGAGGAAGGUGGGGAUGACGUCAAAUCAGCACGGCCCUUACGUCCGGGGCUACACACGUGUUACAAUGGCAGGUACAGAGAGACGGUCCCUUGCAAAAUGGAUCAAAUCCUUAAAGCCUGUCUCAGUUCGGACUGGGGUCUGCAACCCGACCCCACGAAGCUGGAUUCGCUAGUAAUCGCGCAUCAGCCAUGGCGCGGUGAAUACGUUCCCGGGCCUUGUACACACCGCCCGUCAAGCCAUGAAAGCCGGGGGCGCCUAAAGUCCGUGACCGUAAGGAGCGGCCUAGGGCGAAACUGGUAAUUGGGGCUAAGUCGUAACAAGGUAGCCGUACCGGAAGGUGCGGCUGGAACACCUCCUUUCU